GUUUGUGUUUAGUAUUACUUUCAAAUCAAGUUCGGUUCGAUUCUUCGGAUCCAUAUUUUUUAUCCAUAUUUAUUUUCUUCUACUAAUAUAAAGCAAAAUAAAAUAAUGUAAAACAAAUAUUUUGGGCUUAUUUUACAUACAUAAUUGUUGGACCAUACAUUAAGAAUACCAAUAAAAUGGUUGGGCGUCGUGUAAAUAUCUUUGAGCAUGUUGCAAAAUUGACGUAGUCGAUAACCAAUAACGUGUACUUUCUUAUUAAUAAAUUCCUAGUAAAUAUAAUAAAAACAUGAUACAACUGAGCGAAAAGGGAUCAUGGUUGCGUAAAAUUAAUAUGAUCUCUUCACUAGGCACCUGAAUUUUGUUUUUCAAUCCAUUUCGUGAAUUUUAUUUUCUUUUAAAUCUUUUCUGAUUUUUUAUUUUUCUAGCAAUUUGAUUAUGUUUCUUAUUCUUGAUUUGAUAUGAAAACUCUGUACAGAAGGGUAAUACUUGGCCAAACUAAAGAUCUGAAUUUUUCUGUGGUGUUUUUCACCUCAGUUUCCUUAAUUGAUAACCAAUUACAAUUAUUUGUUGUUUUCGUGUACAAAAGCCUCAACUAUAGCCAAGUUCAACAAGGUACGAAACUUUCAGUUUCUAAUAAUAUUCUCAUUCCAGCAUUUUAGUUGGUGUGAAUUUUAAUGAUUUGUAAUUUUUUUUCUUUCAGUAGGUGCAUGGAGAGAACUUUAAUUUACCAAUACAAAGGUUAAAAUACAUAAACUAAAAAUGAGCUGAUUAAAAAAAUUUAGUGUGUAAACACAUUAAAUUAUAUGCGAUGGAAUUAAGAAAAUUAGUGUGUGAACACAUUAAUUUUUAAAUGAUUGUGAGACUGUCACGUCAUCAUUCUGAUUUUUUUAAUGAUUCUGACACUGUCACAUGUCAAUUAGGGUGUGACCAUAUUUCUUACAAAUAUUUUUUUUAUAAUAUAAAAGAGAUUUUUUUUGUAAUCUCAAAGAAAAUUUUCUAGCUGAUGUUUAUCUCACAAGGUUUUUUUUACUAUAAAGAUUAAAGAAUGAAGAUCCCCAUUUCACGUACCAGGGUUCUUUUAAAUGGUGAGAGUCGAUAUUACGCUUGUCUUUUACUUCUUUUGUUUCGUAAUAAAUGUUGUUUUAAAAAAAAAAAAAUCUUGUUGCAUAAAAAUUUCACUCUAGAUAUUCAAUGCAAAUUAUACUUUAUUUUUAGAUGAAGAUUAAUUGUAAACUGUAUUAAUUUUAUAAAUAAUUUUAUUUAUUUCAAAUACUAUUGGUCAAAUAGGUAUAAUUUAUAACAAUUUAAAUACAUUUCAAUCACUAGCUAUCAAAUGUUCUCUAAUGCAUAAGUUAAGAGACUAGUCGUUUGAGUGCGAUUCAUGAAGUAUGUAUAGGAUCGGGUGAGGAAUUUUGUCUGUAUAUCAUAACUCAUAUAUGCUUAUAGUUAUAAAUGUUGAAAGGGUUUGUGUAUGCGAGAGGAAUGAGACUGGAAUUCUCUUCUACGUUGUUUUUCCUGUAUUAUACAUGAAAAUCUAUUUAUCUUCUAUAAGAUGCAUUUUCUCUCCUUUCAUAGAGAAGAUAAAUAGAUUUUCAUCCUAUGAAAACGUGUUUGCAUAUAUUCGGUAGGUAAACUGUUAUGAUCUUCUUCUUUCCACGUGAUCGGCGUGGGAUAAAGGUAACAAGAUCUGUGACAACUAACACCAAUUAUAAAAACAGGCUUCUAUCAACAAAUUCAAACAGCUUCAGGUAUAGACAAAAAAGGUAAGUAAAUUAAUACUUCAAAUGUCGCUGAGUAUAUAUAGUGGUUAAUUCACAAAUUUUUUUUUUAUUUUCCUUCUAGAUUAUCUAGACAUUUAGCUAUAUAUUAUAUAUGAAGUUUUGCCCGGAUUUGUACUGAUGGGACAUUACGGCAAGUUGUUUAGUUUUCCUACCUCCAAAUUCCAAAACUAAGUUCAGUGCUCACAUCUCCCUGAAGCUUAUUGUUUUUAUUUCCUCCAAACCUUCACUGUGACGAUGACUUUUCUCAUUCUUCAUCAACGUCGAUAGCAACUCUUAAAAUCCUUCUCCACCAAUCUCCUCUUAAUCUCAUCUUUGUCAGCUGACAAUGAUAUAUUAACAUACUAAGAAUAAAAGUUAACUGUUACCGGUUAA